rnacentral:tRNA from 1 species
CUUCCCGUAGCUCAGCGGACAGAGCACCGGCCUCCGAAGCCGGGGGCCGCAGGUUCGAUUCCUGCCGGGAAGG